AUAAAUUUCUUCAUCAUACAUGCACCAUUUUCUGAUAAUUUUGUUAACUCAAAGAAAAAUAAUUGAUUAUUCAAAAAUAGAAACAUCUCUGCUGAAGAUAGUUUUUAUAUAUAUAUUGAGAGUUGCUUUUCUGAGUUGAACUCUCUAUUAUAUUUUGCUCAUUCUCAGAGUACAUGACUGCUUCUCCAUUUCUCUCACUGUGAAUCUUCUUUAUUAUCUUUCUUUCUUUUUUCAUUUUCUUUAUACUCAUCUGCAAUGUGCUUGCUUAUUUGCUGUAAUGAAUCUCUUUUUAUAUUCUUCUUCUUUCAUCACCACAACAUUGUCAGAGCACCACAUCUUGAUGUUUUUAUAAACAUUAUGAAGUA
rnacentral:sRNA from 2 species